rnacentral:snRNA from 1 species
AUAUGUGAGGGCAUCUGGCUACGACAUCUGUCACCCCAUUGAUUGCCAGGGCUGAUUCGUCUGAUCCGGCUGCCUAGGUGGGCAGGUGGCCCCUUCCUCUCUCACCACUCCAUGUUCAUCCCUCCGGAAUCUGCAUGGUCUGUGGAAGAGAACUGCCUUCCCCUAAUAGAGAGGAACCCGGACCAGUCUUUGGUUGAGGGUAUAGGAGUAGCCGUGCUCACCUGCUAGAACCUCCAACAAGCUCUCAAGAGCACAAAGGAAAAAGUUGUAAGUUGUCUAUCUUUCCUCC